AUUGAACGCUGGCGGCAGGCCUAACACAUGCAAGUCGAGCGGAUGAAGGGAGCUUGCUCCUGGAUUCAGCGGCGGACGGGUGAGUAAUGCCUAGGAAUCUGCCUGGUAGUGGGGGAUAACGUCCGGAAACGGGCGCUAAUACCGCAUACGUCCUGAGGGAGAAAGUGGGGGAUCUUCGGACCGCACGCUAUCAGAUGAGCCUAGGUGGGAUUAGCUAGUUGGUGGGGUAAAGGCCUACCAAGGCGACGAUCCGUAACUGGUCUGAGAGGAUGAGCAGUCACACUGGAGCUGGGACACGGUCCAGACUCCUACGGGAGGCAGCAGUGGGGAAUGUUGGACAGUGGGCGAAAGCCUGGUCCAGCCAUGCCGCGUGUGUGAAGAAGGUCUUCGGAUUGUAAAGCACUUUUAGUUGGGAGGAAGGGCAGUAAGUUAAUACCUUGCUGUUUUGACGUUACCAACAGAAUAAGCACCGGCUAACUUCGUG
rnacentral:rRNA from 1 species